GAUGAACGCUGGCGGCGUGCCUAAUACAUGCAAGUCGAGCGAACAGGCGAGGAGCUUGCUCCUCUGACGUUAGCGGCGGACGGGUGAGUAACACGUGGAUAACCUACCUAUAAGACUGGGAUAACUUCGGGAAACCGGAGCUAAUACCGGAUAAUAUAUUGAACCGCAUGGUUCAAUAGUGAAAGACGGUUUUGCUGUCACUUAUAGAUGGAUCCGCGCCGCAUUAGCUAGUUGGUAAGGUAACGGCUUACCAAGGCAACGAUGCGUAGCCGACCUGAGAGGGUGAUCGGCCACACUGGAACUGAGGCACGGUCCAGACUCCUACGGGAGGCAGCAGUAGGGAAUCUUCCGCAAUGGGCGAAAGCCUGACGGAGCAACGCCGCGUGAGUGAUGAAGGUCUUCGGAUCGUAAAACUCUGUUAUUAGGGAAGAACAAAUGUGUAAGUAACUAUGCACGUCUUGACGGUACCUAAUCAGAAAGCCACGGCUAACUACGUG
rnacentral:rRNA from 1 species